UACAGAGGUCUCGAGCGUUGUUCGGAUUCAUUGGGCGUAAAGCGCGUGUAGGCGGCCAGAUAGGUCUGCUGUGAAAACUCGAGGCUCAACCUCGAGCUGUCGGCGGAAACCAUCUGGCUAGAGUCCGGAAGAGGAGAGUGGAAUUCCUGGUGUAGCGGUGAAAUGCGCAGAUAUCAGGAAGAACACCUAUGGCGAAGGCAGCUCUCUGGGACGGUACUGACGCUGAGACGCGAAAGCGUGGGGAGCGAACAGG
rnacentral:rRNA from 1 species